rnacentral:rRNA from 1 species
UACGUAGGUGGCAAGCGUUAUCCGGAAUUAUUGGGCGUAAAGAGCGCGCAGGUGGUUGAUUAAGUCUGAUGUGAAAGCCCACGGCUUAACCGUGGAGGGUCAUUGGAAACUGGUCGACUUGAGUGCAGAAGAGGGAAGUGGAAUUCCAUGUGUAGCGGUGAAAUGCGUAGAGAUAUGGAGGAACACCAGUUGCGAAGGCGGCUCUCUGGACUGUAACUGACACUGAGGCACGAAAGCGUGGGGAGCAAACAGGAUUAGAUA